UCGCCUUGGGUGCAGAUGGUGGGCCCGCCGGGUCUGAGUGGGGGUCGUGUGAUGACGGUAAUGACGACGAGAUACUCUACUCACGCGGCGUCCUUUAUUCCUCACAGCAGCCCUGCGUGGAGAAACUACAGUAACGUGUUAUCACGUUAAGGCGGGAAACUGAGGCAUGGGAGUAUUUAGUAACGUUCCCGGGCCGUAGAGCUGCGGUGUGCAGCCGCCUGAUCCACCUGAUCCGUAUGACUCCCGUACUCAACCAGCCUAUGUUUCCUACCAGCGAAUUUUUUUUUUUUUUUUUUUUUUUUUUUUUUUUGAGACAGUCUGGCUCUGUGGCUCAGGCUGGAAUGCAGUGGUGCGAUCUCGGCUCACUGCAGCCUCGACCUCCCAGGCUUGGGUGAUCCUCCCUUCUCAGCCUCCCGAGCAGCUGGAACCACAGUCGCCUGCCACCACCAGGCUCGGCUAAUUUUUGUAUUUUUUGUAGAGACGGGGUCUCUCCAUGUUGCCCAGGCUAGUCUGGAACUCCUGGACUCAGGCGAUCCUCCUGCCUCGACCUGCCAAAGUGCUGGGAUUACAGGCAUGAACCACCACGCCGGGCCUCUCCCCGGGAAUGCUGUGGUAGAGGGACCCGCGGAGGCCCCGAGGCUGCCUGCUUGUAUGUGUUGGGAGGAUCUGCGCUGAGGGUAGGUAGGAGUUGGGCAGGCCAGGAAGGGAAGGAGACAGAGGGAGGGCACGCAUGGUAGACCAGGACGAGGACAAGGGCAGGCUCAGUGUGUGCAAAGGGGACAGUGGUUUGGGAUUUGCAUGCAGAUGCCCGAGCCUCCAAAGGACCUGUGGGCCACAGGGACACCCUGGGGGAGUUGAAGCUGAGGAGUGGAGAGGGCUUUGGGCUGGUCAGCAGGUGCUCAGAGGAGAGGGGCUGGCCCUGGAAAGAAGGGAGGUCUUGGGAUGGUGGCCCACACCUGACCCUGGCCCUUCACCAGGCGAUUCCUGCAUGCAUGCCUGCGGAGAUUCCUGCGUGGAUUGGGGAAGUCCUGCAGCAUUAUAGAAUUGUUACCCAAUGCCAGGGGCUUGGUCCAGAGUCCUGUUGCUAGAUGCACAGAAAGCAAAUCACCGAGAUUGCGUGCUUCCUGUGUGAGGUGCUGUCUCUGUGCCAAACAGAGGGACCUGCCCUGGAGCCGACCUUGCAGGGGGCAGUCGGUCCACAUGAAGAGUGUCUUGCUAUGUUGCCUAGGUGGGUCUUGAACUCCUGGCCUCAAGCAAUCCUCCCACCUCGGCCUCCCAAAGAGCAGGGUGGAGAUUGGUCUGCAGGAGACACAGGCACAGCCACCCCUAGGAAGCGGCCCAGGCCUCGGAGCUGCGCAGCCCGGAACUCAGCUGGCCGUGUGCGCCCCGCGUGGAAGGUCUCCCGCAGUCGCCGCAGCGUGUCCUCAAAGGGGUCCAUCCUGCCAGAUGGGGCGGCAUGAACCGGGUGGCCAGGGCUGCCCCUCCUGCACGGGCACCACCCAGCCGCCCCAGGGUCUGGGCACUCCUGACCUGCCUGCACCCAUAGGGGCUAGCAGACACCUCUACCUUAUACACACACAGGGACCCACUCAGAUGACCCCACAGGGACUGAGGUUGCCAGCAACCCCUUUCACCCAACAGUGAGCACUCCCAGACACACAUGAAGACCUUCGCACCACUCCCCUCUGCCAUGGACCUGGAGGCGGCUGCAGGACUGGGUGUGGGCUUGGGGACAGCUGCUCCACCACAGCCCCCGAGGGUGAGCAGGCAGGCAGAGCGCCACACUUCUUCCUGCCGCACAGAAAUUAACCCCAAGCCAUGGCCUCUGCCCUGCCCUGAUGUCCCUCCUGGAGGCGGGGCGGCCUCACCCCUGCCAGCCUGAAUGGGGUAAGCAGAAGCUUGAUGAGUAGAGGGGGUGUCCCACCCACUGCCACCAUGGCCACCACCUUGGAGCACUCCAGACACAGAAUUCUCCGUCUUCCUCUGUCCCCAGCCUGGGGGCACUGCCCAGGGAGGCCAGGCCAGUGGGCAGUAGCCUCCUCUCCCUGUGCCUCAGCUUCCGCAGGAAGAGGGAGAGAACACCUCGGGCCCCCUGGAGGCCCUGCUGCCCACCCUGCUGGGGCUGUGGUGCUAAGAGGUGGAAACCGCUGUGGGGGAGAGGAUCAGUGCAGGGGAGAGGGCGUUCCUGCCUCCGUGCUGGUGCCACCCAGAGCUGGCAGGCAGGGUAGGGGCCUAGACAUUCUCCUGAGCCCUGCCUGUUUACUUGAAGUUCAUCGGAGGAGCACUCUGACGCACUCGUUCCUCGGCCUGGUGCCAAGGACCUGUGGGGACCCUUUCCUCCUUCCCUCUCCGAGUCCCUUUCCUCCAGAUAUCAGCUUGGCUGAUGCUUCCUCCAGGCAGCCCACCCAGAUUAUGCCCUCAUCCACUGUCACAGUGGCCCCUUGACUCUGCUCCCCACCGUUCUGAGUUGUGCCAUGUGAUAAACAUCUGGUUACAGUCUACCCACCUCCCAACCCUGUCCACAUCCCCCUUACUUCCCCCUCGUUAGACUGGGAGGCAGGCCCCUCUGUGCCUACUUAUUUGAGACCUAGUGCUCGAAGCCUCUCAUGUUACCGGCGUAGUGAUGGCACCUGCCAGCUAAUGAUGAGACCACACAGUCGGUUCUGAGCCCAGGGCCAGCAUCGGUGAGCGCAAGGCUGUGGGUGAUUGUGAAGUGGCCACCUUGAGGGCGGGACCUGCUCCGGUCUGCAGGAUGGCCCUGCUGGACCAGUGUGCUGCUGAGAGCCUGGUCGGGAGCCCCAGGCCAGCCCUCAGCUGGAGUGACUGGGGGGGCCAGGCCGAACCCACCAUCUUCCUGCUCUGAUCGGGACAAGCUGGGCAGCUGCCCGCACACAGGACAGGCACCACGGUCCCCAUAGUGGAUGGCUCGUCACGGGAGCAGGACUGAGACCCAGGAGCCAAGAACCAGCCUCUCGAGCCAUGAGGCCUGUCUCCGGGCUCUGCCUCUUACUGGUUGUGGGACCUUGGGCAAGUCACUCACCUUCUCUGCCUUGGUUUCCUCAUCUGUGAAAUGGGGAUGCUAAUGGCACCUGGUGUCAUCGUGAGGAUUAAAUGACAUCACGCUGCACAAAA